rnacentral:rRNA from 1 species
CCUACGGGUGGCAGCAGUGGGGAAUAUUGCGCAAUGGGCGAAAGCCUGACGCAGCGACGCCGCGUGAGGGAUGAAGGUCUUCGGAUCGUAAACCUCUGUCAGCAGGGAAGAACGGUCACUGUGCUAAUCAGCAGUGAAUUGACGGUACCUGCAAAGGAAGCACCGGCUAACUCCGUGCCAGCAGCCGCGGUAAUACGGAGGGUGCGAGCGUUAAUCGGAAUUACUGGGCGUAAAGCGCUCGUAGGCGGUAUGUCAAGUCAAGGGUGAAAUCCCCGCGCUCAACGUGGGAACUGCCUUUGAACUGGGCAAAUGGGAGGGUGUGAGAGGAUAGUGGAAUUCAAGGGGAAGGAGUGAAAGCGGGAGAUAUCUGGAGGAAAAUCAGUGGCGAAGGCGAUUAUCUGGCACAUAACUGACGCUGAGGAGCGAAAGCGUGGGUAGCAAACAGGAUUAGAUACCCCAGUAGUC